rnacentral:lncRNA from 1 species
CUCGGCCGGGCGCUCGGGUUUCAGCCGCCGCUCCUCCGCGCCCCGCCCGCGCCUGGCCCGCUCGCCGGCGCCGGGAGAGACCUCGUAACGGAACUGGGACGCCAGCGCUGCAUUGUGGGAGCUUUUAAAGCGGCGGGGAGCUCGGCGCGACCCUCGGGCCCACCGGGCCACGCUCGCCCGGCCCGCGACGCCCCCCCGCUGUCGCCUGGCCCGCGACGCACCGAGGCCUGAGGACCCGAAAGCCGGGCGCGGGGAGAUGACCGGUGGCUCGUGACGGUCCCACGGGCAAAAUCUUCCAUCGCCCGGGGCUGAGACUUGUCAAACUGCCCUCUACGGUCACCCGGAAAGUAGGAGGCUUUUUCUGCAGAGGGGAAAAAAAUCAAAAAGAGCCGUUCCAUCCCCCCUCCAAGGACUGGGUUUGAAUUGCUUUUCAUCUGCAGUGGCUGUGAUUCAGCGUCCCUCUUAGCAGCAGGCAAUGACAGAGGCAGGAGAGGGGAAAAAAAAAAAGAAAGAAAGAAAAAACACAGCAAAUGAAUCAAACGGACCAGGUAGCAGGCAAGAGUGUGGUUAUCGUUGGACCAGGAUUCAGGAUCUGACUGAGUAGCUGACUCUUAAUCCAGUUUGUGUUGAUCACCAGGAGGAUCUGGACCUCAGUAUUACCACAUCUAGAGCUAUAAUCACAUCCCUGUUAAGCCUUCCUGAGAUCACACCAAAUGUCCUUGAUGGGAAUUGUAAACAACCCUUACUUCUGGUUUCUAAUGAUAUUCCAGGAAAGGAGCCUAACUAGAGUCAGUGAGUAUUCAUGCACUUCAAACCCUGUGACAUAAUAAGAUUUGAUUUUUAAGAAAACAACUUGAGAGGAUGGAUUCAGAAAAGAGGCAGAUCCAAGGGAGAGUCUAAACUGGAGAGCAGUGGCAAUGAACAGGAGGAGGCCAUAUCGAGAGAUGAAUUGAUCAUCUUAUAGACCUGGAGGUCAGAAAUCUAAAAUCAAAGUGUGGGCUGUGUUCCUUCUGGAGGAUCGAGGGGAGAAUCCAUUUCCUUGCCCUUUUCAGCCUCUAGAUGCCACCUGCAUUCCUUGGCUUAUAGUCCCUUUCUCUAUGUUUAAGGCCAACUGCAUAGCAUCUUCCCCCAUUUCUUUGUAACUUCUGCUUCAUGGUGAUGGGGACAUCUCUCUCUCUGAUCGUAGGAAUUGAUUUAGAUGCUUUUCUAGCCAUAUGUAUUAUGAACUAAAUGCAGUUGAAUUACUUAUGGGAGGAAAUGGCAGGUGACCUCAUUACUUGUCAAAUCAUCGUUAGAUAACUGACUUGACUGUUAAGAUUGCUGAAGCAGUGAUUUAUUACCUCAGCUAAAUCUGUAUCAAUCUGGUGACCCGUGUAACUGAAACCAAGAUGUUAACACUGUAAGAAAACCUAGCUUAUGUUUGCAGCUCCUGAGAAUAAAUCCCUUUAUCUUGAAAUACCUGGAAAUCCCUUUUUAAUGUCCAGUGGAGUCAUAUUGCCAAGUUUGAGAAAUGUGUCUAGACCAGUAUUUCCCAAACAGCCCACCAGACAACACCAGCCUGUAAGAUGGUGAUAUUGUUUGGAUGUUUUUUCCCUCCAAAUUUCGUGUUGAAAUGUGACCGCCAUGUUGGAGUUGGACCUAGUGGAAGGUAUUUGGGUGAUGGGGAAUCUCUUGUGUGGCUAUGUACCUUCCCUGCAGUAAUGAGUUCAUGAAAGAUCUGGAUGUUUAAAAGAGUCUGUGAUCUUCCUCCUCUCUCUCUUGCUCCUGUUCUUGCCAGGUGAUAUGCCAACUCCACCUUUGCCUUCCACCAUGUUUGGAAGCUCCCUGAGGCCUCACCAGGAGCAGAUGCUCGUCCCAUGCUUCCUAUAAGCCUGCAGAACUGUGAGCCAUAAUAAACUGUGAAUUAUAAAUUGCCUUUAUAGCAAUGCAAAUGGACCAGUACAGAUGGGAUGCUGGGAAGACAGUUGUUUCCACCUUCAGUAAAGUCCGUGGAACACAGUUGUGACUAUAUUCUAGGCCAGCCAAGAUGCUUGUACUCAGAAAGGAGUGGUCUCAGGACCAUAAGAAAGUGAAAAAAUAAAAAUAAGAAAAUAAAGAAGGGAUUGUCAAUGAAUCAGAAUUCAUCAAGGUCAAAGUCUUAGGAAAUUCCUUCAUGAGGAAGUCUAGGGGGGCUAUGGAAAUGAAAUUUUUAAACAAAUAGGUAUGUGGUGCUGGCAGGAAUAAAUUAUGGACUUAUGAAUAUAACAUAAGAUUCUUUAUUACCUGGUCUCACCCGUCUUUCCACCUCUGCCCCCCUUCUUGCCCGACUCUGUGUAUCACCCAUAAUAAACUACUUACAGCUUCCUAGUGUUAAAUUUACCCUAAAGCUGCCUCCUUCAAUAUUUUAAGUUUAACCUAAAGGUUCUUCAUACAUAGUGAACUAUAACCCAAUGAUUAAACAGAUUGUAACCUACUCUUGUACCAGUCACCAAGUUUCAGCCAAUCAGAGGUGGCCAACUGUUCAAACCAUGCUCAAAUAAGGGAAAUGUCAUGGUGUAACUAAUCCAGCUGUUUCUAUACCUUACUUCUGUUUUCUUAGGUCACUUUCCUUUUUUGUCCAUAAAUUCUCUCCAACCACUCAGCAGCACUGGAGUCACUCCAAAGCUAUCCUGGUUCAGGGGUCUGUCUGAUUCACAAGUCAUUCUUUGUUCAAUUGAGCUCUGCUAAAUUUAAUUUGUCUGAAGUUUUUCUUUUAACAGAUGGUGUCAGAAAUGGACCCCAAAGUAGAGCUCCCAGUGAUCCCCCAGGAGCACUGAGUGACCACAAGGGGUACCUGCUGGGCCCGUCCUCUCGCAGUGUCCACUGCUCUCUUACAGCAACUGGAGAUUGUGGCUGCAUUCUCUCUCAGAUUCUGAAGCUCCAUACAUUGCCGUUUUCAGCUGUUCAAGCUUGCUUGAGCAAAUUUUUGAUCUUAGCUGAGUUUGGAAGUCGAUAGACAUUGGACUGGGUCCAGGAUUUGAUUGGAUCUGAUAAUUAACUGGCUUGGAUCCAGUUAGAUGCCUCGGUUAUCUGACUGGGUCAGAUAGAAACCGCCAGUAAAUAUUUUAAUAACAAUACUGCAGGGGUAUGAACUCUGGCUUUAAGAAACUCACAAGGAAUUUUAUGUUCUAUACCCUUUGUUUCUUUUUCUUGUGUGCUUCGGUCAGGAAAAAUCAUUAGUCAAGUUAAUCAAGGGGAUCUGAGAGCCAAAUACAAGAUUCAACGUAAAAAUGGAAUCCUUGGGCUAGGCGUGGUGGCUCAGGCCUGUAAUCCCAGGACUUUGGGAGGCUGAGGCAGGCGGAUCACCUGACCUUAGGAGUUCGAGACCAGUCUGGCCAACAUGGUGAAACCCCGUCUCCACUAAAAAUACAAAAAUUAGCCAGGCGUGGUGGUGGGCACCUGUAAUCCCAGCUACUUUGGAGGCUGAGGCAGGAUAAUCACUUGAACCCAGGAGGCAGAGGUUGCAGUGAUCUGAGAUUGCACCACUGCACUCCAGCCUGGGCAAAAGAGCGAGACUCCAUCUCAUAAAUAAAUACAUAAAUAAAUAAAGAAAUCCUUAAUUUCUGCGGAACUGAGUGCUCUACCUUCUGGCUACACCUACGUAUACCUGUAUGAGGUAUAGGCCCUGGAAGCAGCAAACACUUACAGAAAUGGUGAAAUCUUACUAAAGGUAAUCUAAAGUUAUGGUGGAACAUCCCAAAUGAACAACACUGCACUUUAGGAAGUACAUAUAAAAAUGAAGUCUCCCAAUUUAGUAUUAUUCAGGGAUGGCUGUUGAAGUUCAGAAGCUUCUAAAAAGAUUCCAAUAAUUUUACAGAUUCUUUUAAAAGAUUCUUUGUAAAAGGCAAAUAAAAAGCUUAAGUGACUAAUCAGAAAAAUUAGGUCUUCUAACCUUUUGUCAUUGUUACUGUCUUGCCCUGAAAGGGAAAAGAAAGCUGGAUAAAGUAUUUAUAGAAGAUAGAGGACCUGUGGUGGCUCAUGCCUGUAAUCCAAGGUGGAAGGAUUGCUUGAGGCCAGAAGUUCAAGACCAGUCCAAGCAACAUAGCAAGGCCCCAUCUCUACAAAAAAUGAAAAUAAAAUUAGCCGAGCGUGAUGGCUCAUGCCUGUAGUUCUAGCUUCUAGAGAGGCUGAGGCAGGAGGAUUGCUUGAGUCCAGGAGUUCAAGAUUACAGUGAGCUAUGGUCACACCACUGCACUCCAGCCUGGGUGAUGGAGUGAGACUGUCUCAAUAAAAAGACAAAAAGGUCAAGGAAGCUUUUCCUGAUCCACUAACUAAGGACAAUCAAACCCUUCAUGAUCUAGAAUCUGGAGACUGUGUCUUCUGGGAAUAGUAUCAGAGAAAGACUGCCCUUACUGCCCACAUGUAGCAAAACUUUGAGACGUUGAAUUAUGGGUCCAUAAUCUCACAACUCAGAGGGGCACCUCUAGACUCUUGGAACUGUAUAUCUAUUGGAGACUUUAAGGUAAAGCUGAACAGAGAGACGUUUUUCUCCAGAAGCAGACAGCACCAUAGUCAUGGACAGCUUUCCCAAGAUCACAGAUCAAGACUUCUCUGCCGUCAUGAGACUCAUAACCUCUUAAUUUUUUCUUGCUUAUGCUUCUGUGAACAAUAGAAUUGGAAAAGGGGUGGUCCCGCGUGCACCCAUAGGGUAUACUUUUAUUUGUGGAGGAUUUUGCUGCCAACCUUAUACAUGGGCAAACUUAUGCCUUCAUGGAUGGAAGAUAAAGGGCUAAUAUGGGUUAGAAAUUUUAAUGGUACCUUUGUUUCUCCAUAAUCAUUCAGAAACAGAACACUGGUCCACUCUUGUUAACCUACAUCAUAGGUUGAAGAGAACAUUGCCAGGAGGCCUUCAUCCUUCCAGAUGGGCACCAUUUGUUGGGUCUUUUUCCGUGGUAUGAAGAAAAUGAAGCAAUGAUUAGAAAUUGGUCCCUCGGCCGGGCACAAUGGCUCAUGCCUGUAAUCCCAUCACUUUGGCAGGCCGAGGCGGGUGGAUCACCUGAGGUCAGGAGUUUGAGACCAGCCUGACCAAUGUGGUGAAACGCCAUCUCUACUAAAAAUACAAAAAUUAGCUGGGUGUGAUGGUGCACACCUGUAAUCCAGCUACUCGGGAGGCUGAGACAGGAGAAUUGCUUGAACCUGGGAGGCAGAGGUUGCAGUGAGCCAAGAUCACCCCACUGCAUUCCAGGUUGGGCAACAGAGCAAGACUCUGUCUCAAAAAAAAAAGAAGAAAGAAAGAAAUUGAUCCCUCAUAAUAGGCUGUAUAGCAGAUUCUACUGCAAAGGCUAUGGUUGCACAACAGACUUCUUUGAAUUUGCUUGCUAAACUUUUACUGGAUAAUACUGGGAUUACAGGUGUGAGCCACUGUGCCCAGCCUCUCCUGUUUAACUGUAUUCAUUCUAAUGUUUACUUACUUCUUUAAUUUGUAAAAUUGGGUCACUUAGAGUUUUUUUAGCCUAUCUUGCCAUUUAGCCACUGUUACUGAUAAUUUGGAUGGAAAAGAAAAAUAAAUUAUAUCACCUCUCAUCUUCAGUGUAU